CAGUAAGGCUCUCUACAUUGAGUUGCGAGCGAUGAAGAAAGGGAGUCAGUACGCUAUACCUGCCAUGAGCAAGCAGAGAAAGAAUAGAGGGGAACGGGCAUGACCUCUUGCCUCAUCCUCACCACAUCUGCUCAGGAGAAGCAAGCCAUCACAGACAGUCAGAAGACUGCAUGUCUGCCAUGGAUGCAACACGUUCCCUCUCUUCUGGAACAAGCUGUGAGCACAAAGUAUUGCGGUCGUCUCCUGUGAUCACACAUGAGACCUUGUGGUGCCCAGCUGCUGCUUUUUGCCCAGCCGUUCUGCAGGACUCCAUCGUGCAUCUCGGCAUCCCAUGGCAAAAAGACUGGGGGAGGUAACUGCCAUGCUUCACAUCCAAGGCAUAGCUCUGGUGUUUUGUAGUGAUCCUGUACACCCAAGCCCAGAAGCCCUGCAACACAAGUUCUGCUAGCUACCAACAGGAUUAAUGUGAGGAACUUCCAUGAAACCUCUCCGAAUACAUCCCUCGCUAACCAGUAUGUCCCUCAACACUUUAGGAUAGGAUCUUUCUCGUCCUUUUUUUUAAUCUCCAACUGCUCUCCUCUCAUUUUUUAAAGCAAAGCAUUGCAGAAAAGUCAUUCAAGUGGAUAAUUAAUGCAUUGU